GUACACUCCUACGGGAGGCAGCAGUGGGGAAUUUUGGACAAUGGGCGAAAGCCUGAUCCAGCAAUGCCGCGUGAGUGAAGAAGGCCUUCGGGUUGUAAAGCUCUUUUGUCAGGGAAGAAACGGUGAGAGCUAAUAUCUCUUGCUAAUGACGGUACCUGAAGAAUAAGCACCGGCUAACUACGUGCCAGCAGCCGCGGUAAUACGUAGGGUGCAAGCGUUAAUCGGAAUUACUGGGCGUAAAGCGUGCGCAGGCGGUUUUGUAAGUCUGAUGUGAAAUCCCCGGGCUCAACCUGGGAAUUGCAUUGGAGACUGCAAGGCUAGAAUCUGGCAGAGGGGGGUAGAAUUCCACGUGUAGCAGUGAAAUGCGUAGAUAUGUGGAGGAACACCGAUGGCGAAGGCAGCCCCCUGGGUCAAGAUUGAUGCUCAUGCACGAAAGCGUGGGGAGCAAACAGGAUUAGAUACCCCGGUAGUCCCAUGAU
rnacentral:rRNA from 1 species